GCUCACCGGUAAACCCAUCAAAUGAAAGGGAACAGGGGGGCUCUCCACUUCUCCACUGGAAUGUCCCUGCAAGAAGGGCUGAUCCUCAACUGAGUUCAUCCUACCCACCACACCUCCCACCCGCCACAGCAUCAUGAGCAGGUACAUUCCCAAGUCGUACAGCAAACCUUAGGUCUUGUAGAAAGACAGCACAAUGACUUUGAAAAUAUGUUAUUGAAAAUGGCUGCAGGUUUAACAUUGAUCGGUGAUUUGGGUUUGCCAGCUUCUUCAGGGGAUGCUGCCUGUUUCCACUCUGAAGCCCUCCAGCACCAGGCAGCACUCUGCACUCUAGUGAUGCUCAGUUCAGCUCAACCCAACGCAGGCCAUGCUGCAGUCAGUGUAACAGCAGCUGAAGUGGUUUUACAGGUCUCACGCACAGCUGAGGCAAUGAUUUUUCUUCAAGGACUUGUAUACUUCUUCCCAGUGACUCCUCUCUGCCUGCAGUCCUCUGUCCUACAACUGUGUGCUCUGCAGAAGGUCGUGGUUUCAGCCCAGAUGCAACACCUUUAGAGAAGUGACCUGACUGAAUCUGUUUUGUCUUUUUUUUUUUUAAAGCUUUCUACUCCUACCCAUAUUCUGUGUGCUUGCUCCCAGCUUGCGAAACCUUCAUACUGGUUGCAAAGGACUUAAUAUUCUGAGAGGAUCCAUUUCUUCCCUCACCUACACAACUUUAACAAUGAACUUUUUAUGGGACAUUCCAAAUAAUAAGAAAUCUCCACAAUAACUAUAUGUGCUGACUUCUGUCUUAGAGCUGUGCUAUCAAAAUCAGCCGAGCUACAUGUCUGCACAAUGUCUUGGCACUGGAAGAAGAGUCUGAACUCCACCUUUCAAACCCUCUCCAUGUCAUGAGAGAUGCUUGUGCACGGACGGUGUGUCCCAGAUGUGCAGCCACAUGUGGGCAAGGGAGUGAACGCAGAUCAACGGCAUUGCAGAAGAUGCACAGCUAUGCCACAGAGGUCCACAAUUAGUGUCCCACAGGCUCGCAGUGCCUUGCACCUGGAAACGAGCGCACUGGAUAGUGUGCUGUGCAUUACACUUGGAUUUCAGCCAUUGGGAGCAACAUGGGAAUAUCAGCCAGGAAUAAAUUCCCCAGAACAUUUUCGGUUUCCAGGCCUCAGAUGGACUUGAACUUGGUCUAAUAUAGCUUGGCUGCUGUAGACCACUCUACUAUUAAUAUCUCUUCAGUUGCUUGAGGACAUCAGGUCCCUCAUACUUCUCAAUUCAUAGGAGAUUAUGCUGAAUAAGUGAUUUCUGCUUAUGGAAAAUCUCCUACUAUGCAGGAACCCAAGGCA